rnacentral:rRNA from 1 species
GACAGAGGAUGCAAACGUUGUUCGGAAUUACUGGGCGUAAAGCGCGUGUAGGCUGCCUUGCAAGUCGGGUGUGAAAGCCUGUGGCUCAACCACAGAAUUGCCUUCGAUACUGUAGAGCUUGAGACCGGAAGAGGUAAGUGGAACUGCGAGUGUAGAGGUGAAAUGCGUAGAUAUCGGGAGGAACACCAGUGGCGAAGGCGACUUCCUGGCCUGUUCUUGACGCUGAGGCGCGAAAGCUAGGGGAGCAAACGGG